rnacentral:tRNA from 1 species
GGGUGAGUAGCUUAGUGGUAGAGCAUUCGGCUUACAUCCGAAAGGUCGCAGGUUCGAUCCCUGCCUCACCCA